rnacentral:rRNA from 1 species
UACGUAGGGGGCAAGCGUUGUCCGGAUUUAUUGGGCGUAAAGAGCGUGUAGGCGGUCAGGUAGGUCCGUUGUGAAAACUCGAGGCUCAACCUCGAGACGCCGAUGGAAACCAUCUGACUAGAGUCCGGAAGAGGAGAGUGGAAUUCCUGGUGUAGCGGUGAAAUGCGCAGAUAUCAGGAAGAACACCAGUGGCGAAGGCGGCUCACUGGCCCGGUACUGACGCUGAGGCGCGAAAGCGUGGGGAGCAAACAGG